rnacentral:rRNA from 1 species
GACGAACGCUGGCGGCGUGCUUAACACAUGCAAGUCGAACGAUGACGACCGAGCUUGCCCGGUCUGCUUAGUGGCGAACGGGUGUGUAGCCCGUGAGCAACCUUGCCUUCACUGUGGAAUAACCGCGGGAAAUCGGUGCUACUACCUGAUAUGAGCUCCUGUCGCAUGGCGGGUGUUGGAAAGUUUUUCGGCGAAGGAUAGGUUCGCGGCUUAUCUGUUUGUUGGUGAGGUAGUGGCUCACCAAGACGAUGCCGGGUAGCCGACCUGAGAGGGCGAACAGCGACACUGGGACUGAGACACGGCCCAGACUCCUACGGGAGGCAGCAGUGGGGAAUAUUGCACAGUGGGGGAGAGCCUGAUGCAGCGACGCCGCGUGAGGGAUGACGGCCUUCGUGUUGUAAACCGCUUUCAGCAGGGAAGAAGCGAAAGUGACGUUACCUGCAGAAGAAGCGCCGGCUAACUACGUG